rnacentral:lncRNA from 1 species
UGAUGAGUAUGGUGUUAAUCGUGGUCGCGGUCGUGGUAGGGAACGUUUAGGUAAACGUGGUCGAGGGACUAAGAGGACAACAUGACAUUAUAUUUUUGUAAAUUUUAAAUUGCACAGGACUUUCUAUAUUAUUGAAAACCUUGCUCUAUUUUUUUAUAUUUUGUUGUGAUGAUAUGGUAUCGAUGCUCUAUUAAUAUUGUGUUGUUGUGUUGGAUUUGUUGUUGUGCUGUUGAUGUUGAAUUUGUUGUGUUGUUGUGCUGAAAUUUACAAGUGUACUGCAGUCCUACUGAAUACGGUGAACCA